CCCCUGUGGACAUACCUAUACGUUGCCUCGGCGGAUCAGCACCGCGCCCUGUAAAAAGGGACGGCCCGCCCGAGGACCCUAAACUCUGUUUUUAGUGGAACUUCUGAGUAAAACAAACAAAUAAAUCAAAACUUUCAACAACGGAUCUCUUGGUUCUGGCAUCGAUGAAGAACGCAGCAAAAUGCGAUAAGUAAUGUGAAUUGCAGAAUUCAGUGAAUCAUCGAAUCUUUGAACGCACAUUGCGCCCGCCAGUAUUCUGGCGGGCAUGCCUGUUCGAGCGUCAUUUCAACCCUCAAGCUCAGCUUGGUGUUGGGACUCGCGGUAACCCGCGUUCCCCAAAUCGAUUGGCGGUCACGUCGAGCUUCCAUAGCGUAGUAAUCAUACACCUCGUUACUGGUAAUCGUCGCGGCCACGCCGUAAAACCCCAACUUCUGAAUGUUGACCUCGGAUCAGGUAGGAAUACCCGCUGAACUU
rnacentral:rRNA from 1 species